rnacentral:tRNA from 1 species
GCGCCUGUGGCCUAAUGGAUAAGGCGUCAGACGAUUGUGGGUUCGAGUCCCACCAGGUGUG